rnacentral:rRNA from 1 species
GUGACUGCGUACCUUUUGUAUAAUGGGUCAGCGACUUAUAUUCUGUAGCAAGGUUAACCGAAUAGGGGAGCCGGAGGGAAACCGAGUCUUAAUUGGGCGUUAAGUUGCAGGGUAUAGACCCGAAACCCGGUGAUCUAGCCAUGGGCAGGUUGAAGGUUGGGUAACACUAACUGGAGGACCGAACCGACUAAUGUUGAAAAAUUAGCGGAUGACCUGUGGCUGGGGGUGAAAGGCCAAUCAAACCGGGAGAUAGCUGGUUCUCCCCGAAAGCUAUUUAGGUAGCGCCUCGUGAAUUCAUCUCCGGGGGUAGAGCACUGUUUCGGCUAGGGGGCCAUCCCGGCUUACCAACCCGAUGCAAACUGCGAAUACCGGAGAAUGUUAUCACGGGAGACACACGGCGGGUGCUAACGUCCGUCGUGAAGAGGGAAACAACCCAGACCGCCAGCUAAGGUCCCAAAGUCAUGGUUAAGUGGGAAACGAUGUGGGAAGGCCCAGACAGCCAGGAUGUUGGCUUAGAAGCAGCCAUCAUUUAAAGAAAGCGUAAUAGCUCACUGGUCGAGUCGGCCUGCGCGGAAGAUGUAACGGGGCUAAACCAUGCACCGAAGCUGCGGCAGCGACACUGUGUGUUGUUGGGUAGGGGAGCGUUCUGUAAGCCUGUGAAGGUGUGUCGUGAGGCAUGCUGGAGGUAUCAGAAGUGCGAAUGCUGACAUAAGUAACGAUAAAGCGGGUGAAAAGCCCGCUCGCCGGAAGACCAAGGGUUCCUGUCCAACGUUAAUCGGGGCAGGGUGAGUCGACCCCUAAGGCGAGGCCGAAAGGCGUAGUCGAUGGGAAACGGGUUAAUAUUCCCGUACUUGGUGUUACUGCGAAGGGGGGACGGAGAAGGCUAUGUUGGCCGGGCGACGGUUGUCCCGGUUUAAGCGUGUAGGUGUGUGUUCCAGGUAAAUCCGGUUCACUUUAACACUGAGGCGUGACGACGAGGCACUACGGUGCUGAAGCAACAAAUGCCCUGCUUCCAGGAAAAGCCUCUAAGCAUCAGGUAACAUCAAAUCGUACCCCAAACCGACACAGGUGGUCAGGUAGAGAAUACCAAGGCGCUUGAGAGAACUCGGGUGAAGGAACUAGGCAAAAUGGUGCCGUAACUUCGGGAGAAGGCACGCUGACACGUAGGUGAAGUGAUUUACUCAUGGAGCUGAAGUCAGUCGAAGAUACCAGCUGGCUGCAACUGUUUAUUAAAAACACAGCACUGUGCAAACACGAAAGUGGACGUAUACGGUGUGACGCCUGCCCGGUGCCGGAAGGUUAAUUGAUGGGGUCAGCGCAAGCGAAGCUCCUGAUCGAAGCCCCGGUAAACGGCGGCCGUAACUAUAACGGUCCUAAGGUAGCGAAAUUCCUUGUCGGGUAAGUUCCGACCUGCACGAAUGGCGUAAUGAUGGCCAGGCUGUCUCCACCCGAGACUCAGUGAAAUUGAACUCGCUGUGAAGAUGCAGUGUACCCGCGGCAAGACGGAAAGACCCCGUGAACCUUUACUAUAGCUUGACACUGAACAUUGAGCCUUGAUGUGUAGGAUAGGUGGGAGGCUUUGAAGUGUGGACGCCAGUCUGCAUGGAGCCGACCUUGAAAUACCACCCUUUAAUGUUUGAUGUUCUAACGUGGACCCGUUACCCGGGUUGCGGACAGUGUCUGGUGGGUAGUUUGACUGGGGCGGUCUCCUCCUAAAGAGUAACGGAGGAGCACGAAGGUUGGCUAAUCCUGGUCGGACAUCAGGAGGUUAGUGCAAUGGCAUAAGCCAGCUUGACUGCGAGCGUGACGGCGCGAGCAGGUGCGAAAGCAGGUCAUAGUGAUCCGGUGGUUCUGAAUGGAAGGGCCAUCGCUCAACGGAUAAAAGGUACUCCGGGGAUAACAGGCUGAUACCGCCCAAGAGUUCAUAUCGACGGCGGUGUUUGGCACCUCGAUGUCGGCUCAUCACAUCCUGGGGCUGAAGUAGGUCCCAAGGGUAUGGCUGUUCGCCAUUUAAAGUGGUACGCGAGCUGGGUUUAGAACGUCGUGAGACAGUUCGGUCCCUAUCUGCCGUGGGCGCUGGAGAACUGAGGGGGGCUGCUCCUAGUACGAGAGGACCGGAGUGGACGCAUCACUGGUGUUCGGGUUGUCAUGCCAAUGGCACUGCCCGGUAGCUAAAUGCGGAAGAGAUAAGUGCUGAAAGCAUCUAAGCACGAAACUUGCCCCGAGAUGAGUUCUCCCUGAGACUUAAAGUCUCCUGAAGGAACGUUGAAGACGACGACGUUGAUAGGCCGGGUGUGUAAGCGCAGCGAUGCGUUGAGCUAACCGGUACUAAUGAACCGUGAGGCUUAACCUUACAACGCCGAAG